rnacentral:rRNA from 1 species
AUUGAACGCUGGCGGCAGGCCUAACACAUGCAAGUCGAACGAGUGGCGGACGGGUGAGUAAUGUCUGGGAAACUGCCUGAUGGAGGGGGAUAACUACUGGAAACGGUAGCUAAUAACGCAUACAAACGGAGUGGCCAAGAUGGGAUUAGCUAGUAGGUGGGGUAAAGGCUCACCUAGGCGACGAUCCCUAGCUGGUCUGAGAGGAUGACCAGCCACACUGGAACUGAGACACGGUCCAGACUCCUACGGGAGGCAGCAGUGGGGAAUAUUGCACAAUGGGCGCAAGCCUGAUGCAGCCAUGCCGCGUGUAUGAAGAAGGCCUUCGGGUUGUAAAGUACUUUCAGCGGGGAGGCGUUACCCGCAGAAGAAGCACCGGCUAACUCCGUGCCAGCAGCCGCGGUAAUUC